GCUCCCAUGGCAUAGUGGUCACUGCACUUGCCUUGCACGGUUGCACGCGGGAGACCUGGGUUCGAUUCCCGGCGGGGUCA
rnacentral:tRNA from 1 species